ensembl:ncRNA cTel3X.3 ncRNA
UUUUAGGCUUAGGCUUAGGCUUAGGCUUAUGUUAGGCUUAGGCUUAGGCUUAGGCUUAGGCUUAGGCUUAUGCUUAGGCUUAGGCUUAGGCUUAGGCUUAUGCUUAGGCUUAGGCUUAGGCUUAGGCUUAGGCUUAGGCUUAUGCUUAGG